rnacentral:rRNA from 1 species
UAAACCAGUCAUGAUUCACUCGAGUAUACAUGACUGUCUUUGGAUAACUGUGGUAAUCCUAGAGCUAAUACAUGCAAUCAAGUCCCGACCAGUCUAACUGGGAAGGACGCUUUUAUUAGAUCAAGACCAAUCGCCCGGCUUGUUCGGGCGUUGCCUUGGUGACUCUAGGUAACACAUCAGAUCGCACGGUCCUCGCACCGGCGACUUAUCCUUCAAAUGCCUGACUUAUCAACUGUCGAUGGUAGACUCUAUGUCUACCAUGGUUGUAACGGGUAACGGGGAAUCAGGGUUCGAUUCCGGAGAGGGAGCCUGAGAAACGGCUACCACAUCCAAGGAAGGCAGCAGGCACGCAAAUUACCCACUCCCGGCACGGGGAGGUAGUGACAAAAAAUAACGAUACGGGACUCUUAUGAGGCCCCGUAAUCGGAAUGAGUACACUUUAAAUCCUUUAACAAGGAUCCAUUGAAGGGCAAGUCUGGUGCCAGCAGCCGCGGUAAUUCCAGCUUCAAUAGCGUAUAUUAAAGUUGUUGCGGUUAAAAAGCUCGUAGUUGGUUCUGCGUGCCACGCUGUCGGUUCGCCGCCUGCCGGUGUAACUGGCAUGCCGUGGCAUGUCCUGUCGGUGGCGUUCGGGAGCCUCGUCUAGGCGCCGGCCCUUGCCCAAAGCUUGGUGCUCGGAGGCCGGGGGUAUACCCGUUCGCCUACUCUAUCCUACCUAGGUGCUCUUCACCGAGUGUCGAGGUAGGCCGACACGUUUACUUUGAACAAAUUAGAGUGCUCAAAGCAGGCUGAAAUCUCUGCCUGAAUAGUGGUGCAUGGAAUAAUAAAACAGGACCUUGGUUCUAUUUUGUUGGUUCUUAAGAACACAAGGUAAUGAUCAAUACGGACAGGCGGGGGCAUUCGUAUUGCGACGUUAGAGGUGAAAUUCUUGGAUCGUCGCAAGACGCACAAGAGCGAAAGCAUUAACCAUAAACGAUGCCAGCCAGCGAUCCGCCGAUGUUCCUCCGAUGACUCGGCGGGGAGCUUCUUCCCGGGAAACCAAAGCUUUUGGGUUCCGGGGGAAGUAUGGUUGCAAAGCUGAAACUUAAAGGAAUUGACGGAAGGGCACCACCAGGAGUGGAGCCUGCGGCUUAAUUUGACUCAACACGGGAAACCUCACCAGGCCAGGACAUUGGAAGGAUUGACAGAUUGAUAGCUCUUUCUUGAUUCAGUGGGUAGUGGUGCAUGGCCGUUCUUAGUUGGUGGAUCGAUUUGUCUGGUUAAUUCCGAUAACGAACGAGACUCUAGCCUAUUAACUAGGCGUUUUCCGGUGUCCUCGCCACCGGCGACAAUCAUUCUUCUUAAGGGGACAGGCGGCUUUUAGCCGCACGAGAUUGAGCAAUAACAGGUCUGUGAUGCCCUUAGAUGUCCUGGGCCGCACGCGCGCUACACUGAAGGAAUCAGCGUGUGCCUCCCUGGCCGAAAGGCCCGGGUAAUCCGCUGAACCUCCUGCGUGCUAGGAAUUGGGGCUUGCAAUUGUUCCCCAUGAACGAGGAAUUCCCAGUAAGCGCGAGUCAUAAGCUCGCGUUGAUUACGUCCCUGCCCUUUGUACACACCGCCCGUCGCUACUACCGAUUGAAUGAUUUAGUGAGGUCUUCGGACUGGCGGUAAUCCCUACCGACUUGUCGGUAUCGAUGAACGCUGGAAAGAUGACCAAACUUGAUCAUUUAGAGGAAGUAAAAGUCGUAACAAGGUUUCCGUAGGU